rnacentral:tRNA from 1 species
GGAGUUAUGGCUCAGUGGUAGAGCACUUGCCUCACACAUGCAAGACUCUGGGUUCAAUCCUCAGCACCA